ensembl:miRNA sha-mir-454 sha-mir-454
UUGAGUUUCCUACUGUGUAAUUUAAAAAUACAUUUCCUGUUGAUACUACCAGAUCCUAGAACCCUAUCGAUAUUGUCUCUGCUGUGUACAUAGCUGUGAGUAGUGCAAUAUUGCUUAUAGGGUUUUAGUGUUUGGAAAGAACAGUGGCCA